rnacentral:rRNA from 1 species
UUAAAUUGAAGAGUUUGAUCAUGGCUCAGAUUGAACGCUGGCGGCAGGCC